AAUGAUGGUUUAAUUCCUUCCCUUACUA
rnacentral:tRNA from 1 species